UAUAAAUCGUAUUCGACAAAAAAGCAUGAAGUAGUCUAUUUAUUAUAUACAUCUCCAAUUUGUACAUAUUUUAAAUUGAAAUUUUGUCAGAUCUUUCAACUACGAGAACGACGAUGAUAUUUCUCGCGUCGUGACCUGCUCACAUACGACCUGUCGCUUUUACUACGAUGAAGUAAAUAGUUCACUCAAUUUAUACUCAUUUCAAAUUGUCAAAGAAAACAAAAUACAAAUGUGAAUCAAAAACAUUUAUUCAAAUUGGCAUUUUAUCAAUUUUUUAAUUUAUUAUUGUAUACAACUCAUUGUCCAAACAAUGUUUCGCACUAACGUCAAUGCGUAGGAAUACAUAAUAAUCCAUAGUCAGCUGAUAGUGUUCAGAGAAAAACAACGUCGCACACUCGUUUCGCUUCGAAAGUUUGAACUUUUGUCAACAAAGUCAACAGCGUAAAAGGAUAUAACAAACACUGAAUAUGAACGUGAAAAGGUAAGUCCAAACAUAUUUUGUUGUCAAUAUUUUAUGACGAACAUUAUUUAUGCCAUAUUUCCAAGAUGAUCUUGUCAUUCUAUUGCAAGCAUGGUCUUUUCGGUGGUAACUCGUCUUCACAUGUGUUUGAUAUUGUCGCAUUUGCAGUGUGUUUUUCGGAGGACAUUGACCAUGUCAGGUGAUAGACAUAUGUUAACAUUUCCGUUGAUUGUAUUUCCAGACAACAAGCUUGUCAGAAAAUGUUGAUUCUGAAGGCGGUUGGACACAGAUUGCAUCGCAAAUCCACCCUGCAUUGGUGCCGAGUCCGGAUUUCGAUCAGCUGUUGUGACUGUGCUGCUGGCGGUGUUACUGUUUGACAGAAUGCGAGAUAUUCCCUUCUGCUUUUCAGUAUUCAUACUUGACUGUCAUCUCACCAGCUAUCUGAAUGAUGUCAUUGGGAGAAACGCCGCUGUCUGUUAACUUCUGGACCAGGUGUUUCCUCAUACUGAAAAAAUCCAAAAAUGAUUCAGGUAUAUUCAAUAUCAUGCCAUUUAUUUGAUAUUUAUUACCUAAUUUAUUUUGACUUACUUUAUGGCUGAUUGGCAUUGUAUUUCCCAAUAUUAUACUAAAGUGUUUAUCCAAAACUAAUAAAGAUAUUGAAUAUUUACCUGUAUGGUGUCAAUCUUUUGUCAUCAGCUAUGUCAGCACCUUCUGUCAUAGCAUUCAUAAUUCCAUAUAGCUUGUUGACACCUAGUUGGGCAUUUUUGUACCAGUACGACUGUUCCUUCCUGUUGUUAUUGACUGCUAGAAAAAAUGGACUGUCUGGUGUACAAGAGGCUGGUGGUCGUCUUUGUCUGUACAAUUUAUAUGCAUUGACAGGGCAUCUUUCCAGGUCUUCUGGUGUUGCAUAGGCUCUUGGUUUUAUUUGCCGUAUAUUUUUAGGAUUAUCCCCAGGUCUUGUUUUUGUUUGUCGCUCACUUAUAAAGAUAAGAUACUCGGAUCCAUCAUCAUCAUUUCUAAUGUCAAUGUCUCCCCAUUUUAAAUUUCUGGUUUCCUUUCCGGUUCUCAUGCCGACGUUCAGACAACAAAUCAUCCACAUGGGGUGAAGGAGGCUGUGGGGGUUAUCACUUCCGAGGGUCUUGGCAUCGUACAUGGCAUCAAUAUCCAUAUCUGACAGCUCUUCAGCAGCCUUUGAUCUCGAAGAAACCUUGAAACAUCAUCAUCACUGAUAGAUUGAUACUUUUAUCACCAAGUAUGCUGUAAUUUAUUGCAGAUAAUAAAUUAUCC